rnacentral:rRNA from 1 species
GAUGAACGCUGGCGGCGUGCCUAAUACAUGCAAGUCGAGCGAAUGGAUUAAGAGCUUGCUCUUAUGAAGUUAGCGGCGGACGGGUGAGUAACACGUGGGUAACCUGCCCAUAAGACUGGGAUAACUCCGGGAAACCGGGGCUAAUACCGGAUAAUGUUUUGAACUGCAUGGUUCAAAAUUGAAAGGCGGCUUGGGCUGUCACUUAUGGAUGGACCCGCGUCGCAUUAGCUAGUUGGUGAGGUAACGGCUCACCAAGGCAACGAUGGGUAGCCGACCUGAGAGGGUGAUCGGCCACACUGGGACUGAGACACGGCCCAGACUCCUACGGGAGGCAGCAGUAGGGAAUCUUCCGCAAUGGACGAAAGUCUGACGGAGCAACGCCGCGUGAGUGAUGAAGGCUUUCGGGUCGUAAAACUCUGUUGUUAGGGAAGAACAAGUGCUAGUUGAAUAAGCUGGCACCUUGACGGUACCUAACCAGAAAGCCACGGCUAACUACGUGCCAGCAGCCGCGGUAA